rnacentral:rRNA from 1 species
GACAGAGGGUGCAAACGUUGUUCGGAAUUACUGGGCGUAAAGCGCGUGUAGGCUGCCCCGCAAGUCGGGUGUGAAAGCCCUCAGCUCAACUGAGGAAGCGCGCCCGAAACUGCAGAGCUUGAGUACCGGAGAGGAUGGCGGAAUUCCCCAAGUAGAGGUGAAAUUCGUAGAUAUGGGGAGGAACACCGGUGGCGAAGGCGGCCAUCUGGACGGAUACUGACGCUGAGACGCGAAAGCGUGGGGAGCAAACAGG